rnacentral:rRNA from 1 species
AUUGAACGCUGGCGGCAGGCCUAACACAUGCAAGUCGAGCGAGAGGCGGACGGGGGAGUACUGUAUGGGGACUGCCCGAUAGAGGGGGAUAACAACGGGAAAAGGUUGCUAAUACCGCAUACUAUCGGAUAACCCAUAUGGGAUUAGCUAGUAGGGGAGGUAAUGGCUCACCUAGGCGACGAUCCCUAGCUGGGCUGAGAGGAUGAUCAGCCACACUGGGACUGAGACACGGCCCAGACUCCUACGGAGGCAGCAGUGGGGAAUAUUGCACAAUGGGCGCAAGCCUGAUGCAGCCAUGCCGCGUGUAUGAAGAAGGCCCUAGGGUUGUAAAGUACUUUCAGUCGGGAGGCGUUACCGACAGAAGAAGCACCGGCUAACUCCGUGCCAGCAGCCGCGGUAAUUC